rnacentral:rRNA from 1 species
UACAGAGGUCUCAAGCGUUGUUCGGAUUCAUUGGGCGUAAAGGGUGCGUAGGCGGCUUGGUAAGUUGGGUGUGAAAGCCCCGGGCUCAGCCCGGGAAGGGCACUCGAAACUGCCGAGCUGGAGUGCCGGAGGGGAGAGUGGAAUUCCUGGUGUAGCGGUGAAAUGCGUAGAUAUCAGGAGGAACACCGAUGGCGAAGGCAGGUCUCUGGGCUGACACUGACGCUCAUGCACGAAAGCGUGGGGAGCAAACAGG